ensembl:lncRNA
UUUUAUUUCCCAUUUAGAAGCCUCACUACUUGUGUGAAGCAGUUGUCUCACGUUUCUGACUGUUAUAUUACUGAUCAUGUAAAAAGGUAAAGGCUAAUGGGUGACCUACUUUAACCAACAUGUUCUAUCUAAUCAACUGGAGAAAUCUCUGCAGUUGUAAUGAGACAGUAGAAUUCUAAAAUAAGGAGCAAGGGAAGAAGGUGGAGAAGGACUUGUAUAUUUUCCAGGCUUAGUUUUUUGCUCACCAAAAGGAUGAAAACUAAGAUAAAUAAGAAUACAAGAAAACCAUGAAGGAGUCUCAUCACUGGAUUGCAGGAUGGCAAGAGGAGUCAUGAAUGUAGAUUAAAAUAGGGAACAGUAUAGGUACAGAAGGAACUGCACCUCAUCUGAGAGACUGGGUGCGGUCAGUGAGAAAUCAAAUAUUUAUAUACUAAUACUGCAGCCUGGCAACACAACGGAGGAACUUGUGAUGGUAGAGGAAAUGAAACUAGACGGCAUGGGAACAACAGAAACAUGAUGAAUUAACACUCAGGACUGGAUUGGAAGGACUGAGAGGCCCAUCUGGAAGGCUGUAAUGCCUCGUGUUUUCCAUCCUGGCUGCUGGUGCUGGUGAUACCAUCAGUGUGAAUUUCAGAUCAGCAGAUAUAAUUGAUGAUGGACUGAAAAUCAGCAUCUACAUAUCAAGACCCAGGAGCGAUACAUUAUGCAUCAAGUUCGCACCAAGGGAUGUUGAAAUAAUGCCUGAGGUACUAUAAAGUAGUCUGAAGGAGAAAUACAAAGCCUUGAAAUCAAGCAUGUAAAUAGAGAUUAUUGUCAUUGAUACUGUUUGAUAGGUUCAAAUUGAUACAGCCUAACACUCCUUAGAGUUCUUCUGCUAAAAUUACUGAAGAAAAUAUUAUGCAUUAGCUCUUGUUUUAUUGCUGUUACUAUGCUCUUUAAAACCACUUCAGUUCACUUUAUUGGAGGCAAAGAGGAUAUAAUUGCUGCAAUGACUAAACUUGUAACUUUAAUAAUUUUCUGGGAAAUGAAUGUGUAAAAAUCAUUGACAAGGAUUAUUUAAUCAAGUACAGGAAUGCUGAAAGUACAUAACAGAAGAGCAGAAAUAUGGCUGUAUAGGCUGUGAAAGCUACUUUGAGGCAGUAGCUUUGCUGCUUCUGCUCUUCUGGGUAACUUCAGCAUUUCAUGAUUAAAACCAUAUGAAGCUUUGGUUCUGGAAUUCAAGAAAUAGGAUGAUUUUAUACAUUAAAAAGGAGUUGUUCUGUACGGUAACCACUUUAUUUCUGAGAUCACUAAUGUGUGACAGAAUUGGAGCACGCAUCGGAUUUGCCUGUGAAACUUGAUUAAGUUGGGUUUAAGUUGGGUGGUGGAAGGUCUGACAGUAACUGCUGCUUUAGGAGCGCACAUCUUACAAUCUGCUAAGUAUGUAGAAAAAAAAUGUCAUUGGCAGAAGUAAAUCCUCACUAUGGUUGUAUUCUACACAAGGGCCAUAAAACUGUAUGCUGUAAAGUGCAGUACAGUAAGGAAACAACUGUCAUUCUAAAAAUUGAUGUUGGAUGUGUUUCCUACUUCAUUAAUGGGAGUCCAGUCUUAUUUCAUCCUAUGCAAUCAUGUAGACAGGGGCCAGGAAGAAAUGUAUGGGUAGUUUUUUUUUUGUUUUUUUUUUUUUGUUUCAGUGAGAUAAAAGGGCAACAGACUGGAUAGAAAAUUUCUCAGAACAAGCAAGUUAAUUCAAGUUCUUUUUAG